UCUUCAUUCUCUCUCUCAAAACUACUUGCAGACCAUCUUCCUUCCACAUCUCAAAACCCUAAUUCUAACAACAUAUGCCCCUUUUCACUCACGAUCAGAAGAAUUGCUUCCAAACUGUUUGAAGAUAUUACGUUGAUGUAGCAAAUAAUGGAAGCAAACGUAUGUGAUGUUAAUCAUCUGGACUCUGAUGUACUUUUGCCUCCACGAAAGCGGUUACUUGCCUGUUUGAAAAAGCAGAAUGGUGAUGGAAAUGGAAACUCCUAUUCACCAUCCACUUGUAGCUCGUUGAACGAAUUAGAUGCCCGUAUCAGUUUCUUAUUGAGAGCUCAUUUGAGUAACGCUAAUCCUUCACAAGAGGAGAUUGUGACGGCUUCCAGAUCAGCAGCUGAAGUUGCAGUCAAGGUUGCAAUGGCUGCAAGGGCGACAGCUGAAGAAAAGGCGGUAAUAGCAGCCAAAGCCAUGGCUGCCGCCAAGAAAGCAUUAGAAUUUGUAGCAAGUUUUGAUAAUCAGGAGAUAUCUUCUUCUGCGGAACAACAAUUGAAGAAGAAUAAAACCAAAAAGCAAGUUGAGGUUCAAAUGUUGUAUAACAAUAAGAAACCGAGGUUAGAGAAUGGUAAAAGUAAGACAAAUGAUGAAGAGUUAGCUCGUCAAUUGCAUCAGGCCAUAAACAGCUCCCCUAGAAUUUCAAAGUGUGGUUUGCCCUCUGACGUAAAGAGUCAUAAGCAUAAAAAGCUUAAAAUCUCUUCUGAAAAUGGUAGAAUUAACAAUGGAAGUAUAGUUGGUGAAGGGAUUUCUCCUUCCAGCAAUGGAGCCAGUAAACCCCUCGAAAUGGUAACAAGCAUUGGUAAAGAAGUAGAAAACGCUUCAAAGUCAAAAAUGGAAAACGGGAAUGCAGAAAGAAUACAAUCAAAGGCGAAAUGUAGUGAGGAGGAUACCACUAUUCUUGGUAGAAAGAGGGGAAGAAUGAAACAGAAGAAGCUUCCUUUAAGCAUCUGUCAUGAUAGGGAUCAAGCAACCCCCAAAGAAGAUCGUACUUCUAGGAGCUCGUUUUCUGUAGGGUCCUCUGCCAAUGGUGCGAUGGCUGUUGAACGGAAUUCAUCCUGGAAGUGUCAGGCUUUUAAGGCACCUGCUUGUGUCAAACAAAACAAAGUUAUGCAGUUGUGAUGUUCAUACUUUUACCAUAACAAUGAGCAGUUUGGACAGCAGAGUGGCCGAGCGAUGCAGGGUCAACGUGAAAUUUGAAGAGAAUCGUUGGCACUGUGAGAUCAUUAGCCAGCUGACAUAAGACCUGUUGUAGUACAAAAGCUUGAGAUUGUUUGUGAUAUUUUCUCAUUAAUCUUUGUGGUGGGUCGUUAGUUCGUUGUGUUUGACAUGGGUUUGUAAAGGUACAGACGAGAUUUUUCGCUUAAAUAACCGAAAAUCCUUCCCUUUGCAUGUUUUGGUAAACUUCCAAGAUUUAUUACAAUGACUCUGUAACUUGGUCAUUAAUUUUUAAGAUUAUUAGUACCUUGUUUAUGGGACAGAGGAAAUGUUUGCAUA